AAGAGAUUAGUUUAUUUUAAAAACAUUUGCUUGUCAAGCUUAAAUAACUUUACUAAAUUAAUAAGUAUCUCUUU
rnacentral:tRNA from 1 species